UAACGGCGAGUGAAGCGGCAACAGCUCAAAUUUGAAAUCUGGCUCUCGGGCCCGAGUUGUAAUUUGUAGAGGAUACUUUUGAUGCGGUGCCUUCCGAGUUCCCUGGAACGGGACGCCAUAGAGGGUGAGAGCCCCGUCUGGUCGGAUGCCAAAUCUCUGUAAAGUUCCUUCGACGAGUCGAGUAGUUUGGGAAUGCUGCUCUAAAUGGGAGGUAUAUGUCUUCUAAAGCUAAAUACCGGCCAGAGACCGAUAGCGCACAAGUAGAGUGAUCGAAAGAUGAAAAGCACUUUGAAAAGAGAGUUAAAAAGUACGUGAAAUUGUUGAAAGGGAAGCGUUUAUGACCAGACUUGGGCUUGGUUAAUCAUCUGGGGUUCUCCCCAGUGCACUUUUCCAGUCCAGGCCAGCAUCAGUUUUCCCCGGGGGAUAAAGACUUCGGGAAUGUGGCUCCCUUCGGGGAGUGUUAUAGCCCGUUGUGUAAUACCCUGGGGGGGACUGAGGUUCGCGCAUCUGCAAGGAUGCUGGCGUAAUGGUCAUCAACGACCCGUCUUGAAACACGGACCAAGGAGUCGUCUUCGUAUGCGAGUGUUCGGGUGUCAAACCCCUACGCGUAAUGAAAGUGAACGCAGGUGAGAGCUUCGGCGCAUCAUCGACCGAUCCUGAUGUUCUCGGAUGGAUUUGAGUAAGAGCAUACGGGGCCGGACCCGAAAGAAGGUGAACUAUGCCUGUAUAGGGUGAAGCCAGAGGAAACUCUGGUGGAGGCUCGCAGCGGUUCUGACGUGCAAAUCGAUCGUCAAAUAUGGGCAUGGGGGCGAAAGACUAAUCGAACCUUCUAGUAGCUGGUUUCCGCCGAAGUU
rnacentral:rRNA from 1 species